AAAUCAAACUAAAAUAGUGUUUUGCAGUUGGAUUGAAGAUGACCUUAGUGAGAUAUGAAUUUAGGUAGAAUUGAUUGAUUUGACGAAUUAAGAGAUUUGUUAAAAUUUAUAAAAAGUUCUAAUGAGUCUUUCUUAUUUAAAAAGUUUAUGAAACUAUUCUACUACAAUGAUUUUAAGAAUUUUGAGUAUAUAUGCAAUAUUUUGAAAGU
rnacentral:lncRNA from 1 species